CCUUUUUUUAGGUCGAUCGGCAGCAAGGCUGCUAACUUCGAUAGUGCAUCUGCCCUGUCAUUUUUCAUUCUAAGGACCUAUCAAAUGUCAUAACUCAAAAAGGCUAAGAUUACAUCCUUUACCUUUCAAAGAUACCUCUUCAUAUUCUCUUCUCGUGCCUCGUAUUCACCUUUUAUGUGCCCCACCACCAGCUGGGAGUCGCUGAAGACCUUCAGGUGCUGGGCUCCCACUUCUCUCACCACCUUGAGUCCAACAAGCAAAGCUUCAUAUUCUGCCUUAUUGUUGGUGGCUGGGAAUUCAAAGCGCAAUGCGUAUCCCGCAACAUCAUCUUCAAGAUCGGUUAAGAUCAGCUCGGCCCCAACUCUAGAAGCAUUGAUGAGUCGUCGAUGUGCAACAUCCAUAACUCAAGGUCAGAUCCUACGUCUGCCUCCUCAUUCCUUGAGUUUUCACCAACUUCUGAGCCCUUGGCAACUCUUGAGCCUUCUCCAUCUUGUGAACUCUGUCCGUUCAGGAUGGAAUAUUUCAGGAUGAAAUCCGUCAGCAUUUGGACUUUGAUGGAAGGCCUCGGACGGUACUGCACGUCCAACUCGACAAGUUCAAGAGCCCACUUUGCAAUUCGUUUUGAGGUGUCCAAAUGGUGGAGAAUGGCCUUGAUUGGCUAGUCAGUGAGCAGUACAACAGUAUGGACAUGAAAAUAAGGCCUAAGUUUUCUUGUCAUGACGAUCAAUGCAAAAAUCAAUUUUUUCAGCUUUGAAUAUCUGAUCUCUACAUCAUGAAGGACUUUGCUAGUGUAAUAUAUUGGCUUUUGAAUCCGUUCUUCUUUUCGAAUGAGAACUGCGCUGAUCACCACUAGAGAGACAGUGAGGUAUAGCAGCAGCUCCUCAUUAGGUUGAGGCUUCGUAAGCAACGGUGGAGAGCUGAGAUAUUGCUUUAACUCAAACAUCUUUUGGUAUUCAAUAGUCCAUUGGAAGUUUUUUGGCUAUCUGAGGAUCUGAAAGAAUGGGAGACAUCUCUUGAUCGAUCUGAAGAUGAAAUGGUUGAGCGAAGCGAUCCUGCCAAUGAGACGUUGCACCUCCCCAACUAUUCUCGAUGGAGUCCUCUCAAGAAUUGUCCAAAUCUUCUUGGGAUUCGCCUCGAUGUCUCUUUGCGAGAUCAUGAAUCCAAAAAAUUUUUCAGUGAUAACUCCAAAGGCACACUUUACUGGAUUCAACCUCAUCUGGAAUUGGUGGAGGGUGUCGAAGGUCUCUUGGAGGUCAGCAAUGUGGUCUGAGACUGCACGACUCUUAACUAGCAUAUCAUCUACGUACGUCUCCAUAUUGCGAUCAAGUUGAUCUUCAAAGAUCUUGUCCACCACCCGUUGAUAGGUAGCCCUUGCAUUUUUCAAGCCGAAGGGCAUCAUCCUGUAACAAUAAAGUCCACGGUCAGUAAUAAAGGCUGUUUUCUUUUCAUCUUCAGACAUCAUCCGGAUCUGAUUAUAGAUGAAAAAGGUAUCCAUGAAACUGAGGAGCUCCUAUCCAGAAGUAGCAUCCACCAUCUGGUCUGUCUGAAGCAACGGAUAGCUAUCUUUGGGGCUGAUCUUAUUCAGGUCGAUGAAGUCGAUGCACAUGCACCGCUUUUCAUUCAUCUUUUUGAUUAGGAUAUAUUCGUCAGCCAAUCCGGAUACAUUGCUUCUCUGAUGAAGCCAUCCUUGACUAGUUUGUCCACUUCCUUGGAUAUGGCCUUCUGGCCUUCUGGCCUUCUGGCAUUCUGGAGUGAAGCUUCGCUUCUUUUACUUCACCGAUCGGUAGGUUGGAUCCACCUUCAGAUGGUCCCAUCAUCUUCAGAUCAAUGUCGGGCAUGUCUGCAGUCAAUCAGGCAAAGAAAUCUGUAUUUUUCUACAAAAGAGCAGUUAGCUAGCCUUUUGUUACCUCAUCUAGUUGUAAGCCAAUCUUCACUGUUUGCUGGGGAUUCUCUUUCCUCAGUGGAAUCUCCAGGAGGUCCUCGGACGGUUGGGCUCGUUCCUCAGACAGAUCAUCUCGGGCAUCUAACUCAAUAGGAAGUUUAGGUUGGAUCUCUAUCUGGGAUGGCUAGCUUUCUGCUUGAAGUUUGGCAGCAAAACACUAUCAAGCCAUAGUCUGGUCACUUCUGAUUUGUCCUACUCCAUUCAGGGUUGAAAACUUCACCAUCAAGUGAUAGCUCGACACUACGGCCUUUAGAGUCCACAAUCUUGGACGGUCAAGGAUUGCAUUGUAAAUUGAAGGGAGCUUAACCACCAAAAAAUUGACUUGGUUGUCGUCCAUUUUAAUGCAAUACCCACUGUGACGGGCAGCCUAAUCAUUCCCUUCGGGAUCACGAAAUCUUCGGAGAAAUCCUGAAUCGGGGUAUCAAAUCUAUCUAGCUGAUUUGAUGUAAAAUCCAUUUGGAUGAAGACAGAGAAAUAUAAAAUAUCAAUCGAGCUUCCUUUAUCAAUGAAUACAUGAUGCAUAUUAAAGUCAGCAAUAUUCGCUGUUACAACCACGCAUCAUUGUGCGGGGCUAGCACACCCUCUGCAUCCCGCUCAGUGAAGGUAAUGGCAUCUUCGUGCUCAUUUUUGAGCCUCGGCCUCUUCGCUUUCAGAAGCUCCAUCGGUCCAAUCGAUCCUCCAGUUAUCAUAUGGAUUUCACCUCGGAUGAGUUGGUCUUCUACUAUCGUCGGUCUUCCUGCUUCCUGUCUCACUGGCUGUACUGGUACUGGCUAUGGCCGAGGCAAAUGGCUACUAAGGCAAAAGAGGUGGCUGCUGAGCUCUCGGAGGAGGUCGUCGUGGAGGCGCUUUCCUCCGAACAAAAUGGUUCAGUCUCUUCUGCCUGAUGAGCCUCUCAAUUUCAUCACAGAGUUGCAUGCAGUUUUUAGUAUCGUGAUCGUGGUCGCGAUCGUAGAGACAGUAUUUAUUUGGAUCGUGGUGGUGCUCUAGCUUCGUCCGUAUCAUUGGAGGCUCGAGCAGCUCAGCUCGAAUCUCCAUCAACACCUGCCCCCUAGAAACAUUCAAAGGCGUAUAGUUAGUGUAACACCUAAGAGGAGAGGAUCAUCAAUCCCCUCUCAAAGGGCUCCGAGAUCGAUGGCUUUGGCUCUCAUUUUUCUGCCUUCAUAACGGAGAUCGGGAGCGUUGGCGAGUUCUCCCCUAUGGCAUUGGAGAGCACUCCUUGUUCCGACUUGCCAUACCAAAAUUGGUAGGGAUUUCUUCUGCGAAAGCCUCCUCCGUGCGGGCAUAUUUCUCCGCACGAGCAAGCAUGUCCGGAAGGUUCCGUGGAUAAGUCUUAGUCAACAAUUUUUUAAAUCAUUCUUCAGUAGGCCGCCUAUCAUCGCGGCUAUCGCGGUCGAUUGGUCCAAGUCGUAGACCUCCAGAGUCGCCGCAUUGAAACGAUUGACAAAAGCGCAGAUUGACUCGCCCUUCCUCUGCUUGAUGGUGUGAAGAUAGUUAGACUGCUUCUACUAUCGCCGGCUGCUAACAAAGUGACCGGCAAGUGAUCAGCAUAGAUCUUUGAAAGAAUGGAUUGAGGUCGGCUUCAAAUUUGAAUAUCACCAUCGAGCGAUCCUUUAAGAGUAACAGAGAAUGUUCGACAGAGGAUGGCAUCUGCUGCUCCUUGAAGGAGUAUUACCGUCUUGAAGGUCUCCAAAUGAUCGACAGAGUCGGCGGUCCCAUCGUAGACCUCAAACUAGGGCACUUUAAAAUGCCGGGAGAGUAGCUCCUACAUUAUCUCCGACGCAAAAGGUGGCUUGCUGUUGAAUCCAUUAUAGGGUUGCAUCGAGAAAAUAUUAUUGAGAGCAUGGUCGAUUUUUUCCUCGAGCACUUGAAACUGCUUCUCUAUAGCAAGAUCCUAAACGGUGCAGGCCUCGAAAUGCUAAGGAGAGCAGCGAUCGGGGGUUGAGUCAUGCCCUAAUUGCAGGCUAGGAGAUUGCUGUCUGGCUGGUUGUUAGGCCUUUAGGCGGCUCUGGCGGGUCUGCCUCCUCUCUGGGCUGUAAAGAAGCAUCCGCGAUUGCUCUGGUUGUGGUGGUGGCUAGGAGGUCGGUUUUGGUAGAGAUGCCACCGCAAGAGGUACGGAUGGCACUACCGAAAGAACCGGUUGCAUCGCUAGAGCGGGUGCGGAGCAGUCUGAGUAGGCUAUGGCGCCGUCAGUGAAGGUGCCAGAAUAGUCUGGACUAUUUGAACAGCGACCGUCAAAUUUUGAACCUGCUGAAAGAGCCGGUUGAACUGGUCUGCCAUGACUAGUGCUGGCUGGGCUGGCGGAGGAGUCACCAUCGUCGAUGGCUGCGGUUGGCUGGCAGCCUGGCUCCCUGCUUGUCGAGGGGCGGCGACAUUGGAAAGAUGAGAUGAUAUUCGUUUCGAUGGCAUGAUGAUGUGAAAAGUCGAUCCUUCCUCUAUCUGUUGCUGCUUGUUUCAGCUAGGUUGGAAGGCAGAUGCCUGGUCCUUGCACAGGGAGUGCUGGAGUGACCUAUAAAAGAAGUCCGAGCAGAAGGUUUUCGCUUCCGCAAGGAUUCUUCGACGCUUAAAUCAGAUUCAGAGAACAAAGAAAGCAGCAACGAGUUUUCUAAGAGAGAUUGCUUAACUUAUCUCGGUCUUCGAGAUUUUUGUGAUUUAUAAAGAAUGUUGUUGAGCAGUUGGUUGAACAGUUGUGAGAUCGUGCAAUCCCGAGAUUACAGGACCAUUCAACAUGCUAUAGUAGGCGAGAUAUUUCAGCCCUUAAUCAUUCCUACGAAAUCAUGAGAGUUGGUUAUGCUUGAGCCCAUCCAUUUGGAGUGGACAGCUGUAGUACGUGUCCGGGAGCUGAUCGGCUGAGGUUAUGGAAAGCUGGCCAAGACAAAUAGCCCGUGCAAUAGACUAGAGGUAAAUGGCUCUGCUCUACAUACCUCGGUUCUGCGCUUAGGCCGGUGACUGCAUGGACAGCCCACUAAUCUGAGGUAUCAAUGACAACAUACCAGAUCCGAAGCAUUCAGGAUACUAUCAUAACAGUGUCCAACCUAUAUAACCAAGUCAUCCCAAUGGUUUCUAAAAUUUGCGUGCCAUAUCUAUUCUAGUGUGACUGUUGGGUUUGCAUUAUGUUUUUUGUUAAUGUUGGAUCAUACAAAUGCUCUCUUGUAUCUUUAAAUUGGAUCUUUAAUGGAUCAUUGAAUGUUAUAUGAUGCUGUGUUUACUUGCCCCAAAUUUUUAUUAAUGAACAACUUCAUUUGCUAAUUUGCAUUUUGUUUCUCUUUAGUUGGUUGUUAGGCACUGCUUUGAUACACCUGUAUGAUUGUUUAUGCAAAGCUAUGAUAUAUUGAUUCUCGUUAUGUUUAUUAAUAUUCUCGUGUAACAACCUAAUCAAUUUUGAAUCUUAUACCCAAACGGCUCGUGGAAAGUCCCAUAAGAAAGCUCAACAAGAGGAGAGCUCCCAAUUGCAACUUUCUAAGGAACAAAAGAGGCAGAAAAAACUUCCCCUUGGUUUAUCAAUUGUCAUUGCUAGCUGAAGCCAUACAUGGAGUUCAUAAAUGAUGGCCACGAGAGAUUGACGAAAGCCCAUAAGAUUACUGAACCACUUCAAGUAACAGAGGAUGAGGAGUUGCUCUUGAAGGUGGGACUUUCCAGUUGUCCUACCAAGAAUGAGGAAAGGGAUGACAAGAGGACGAGGACAAUGAGGAAAAGAAGGGCGAGUGAGAUGGCAUGCAACAAUGACAUGGUGAAGCUCCUCCAUAAGUACAGACGUGCGGCCAUGGAGGUAAGGGGAGGAGGGCCUUGAAGAAUGCAAAGACUGAAGAGUUGAGAAAGAUUGUCGCUGAGCAGCAGAAAUUAAUUAGUGAGCUACAGGAGGCACUGAAGGUGCCGACGAGCGAGCAGUUUAUGGGGGAGAAGGCUAGCAAGGGGCCAAGUUUUGAGGAGGCUGAUGUGCCACCCUAAGAGUUUGAGUGGAGGCAGCACAAGAGUAUCUCAUUUAGCAGUCAAGAUAGAUGAGCAAGCAAACAUUUAAUCUACUGAGAAACACGUGACGGAGAGGGUACUCAAAGGGCUUCUUAGCCUUGCAGAGUCCUUUCACUCUACUACCGUCAAGUUCUCCAGCUCCUCUCAUCUGUUUUAUCCUUACAUGUCUUUCUUUUUUGUUGCCUUUUCUCGGGCUGAGAGGCUUGUGGUAUUGAGGGAUGGAAGAGGGCGAGGCAUAGGCAGUGCAUCCUAUCCCGUCACAAAUUAUUCAGGCUUUUUUCGGAUUUUAUGGAACGGACUCCACUUAACUGUUAACAGAUGCUUUAUGUGCCUUGACAUCUGUGCGGAUCGAACGGUGAUAGGGGCAACCCGAUUGGGAUGUAGCUACCCUAGAGUGUAGCCCAGUUCACCUUUAUAUAUAUAUAGAGAGAGAGAGAGAGAUAGAGAGAGAGAGAGAG